CCCCAAAAAAAAGAAAGCAAAGCAGGAUGGGAAAAAAAUAAAUCUCCAAUAAGGAUAAUGCAAUAAUGCAUUCCAAACAUUGAAUAUCUAGAGAAUACAUAUAUAAAUAUAUCGAGAUACGUAUGUUUAUAUAUGUCUGGAUCUUAUAGACCCAUUCGCAUUUUGCUCCUGCUCUGAAACACCUUUUAUACGAAAGAUCUGCCUCUCUUCUUUCAUGAACUCUAUCAACAAUCCUAUUUUUUUUUUUUUCCUAAGCACCAAGGUGAGAAAAGAGACUUUCCUCUCGAGGAGAAUGUGCAUCCUUGCCUUGUCCGUGUGGCUCUUCCCACUGCAUCUCCCUUCCCUGUUCCCAAGGCUUUUCAUGCAUCCUUAGGUGUCUUACAGCUGGAAUAAUUCUGCCAGAGGAUGAUGGUGACGUGCCAGGAAAACCCAGGUGUGGUUUCUGAGCGUGUCCCAGGGAAGGCAGACAGCCCAGGUGGAAUAUUUGCUGAUUGCAGAGUUAAUUAUCACAGCACAAUGCCUUUGUAGUGGAUAUUUUUAAUUAGAGUUUAGCCAUUGACAGCCAAAGUUUUGCCAUAUUUUGAUACACCACCUUUUUUUUUUUUUUAAACUGGAAGCUUUUCUUAAAAAAAAAAAACGAACCAAAAAAAAAUUAUAAUUAUUUUAUAAAAUAAGCACAAUCUUAUUUUUAUAAGAAAUGUUGGGGAAGGGAGCUGGUACCAAAAGAAAUGGAGAGGAGCUAUAGGCACAGUGCAAAAUGUAAAAAAUAAAAAUCUCUUGGGAUGUUGGGACAUGGGAGAGCUGCUGUGGGGCUGUGGCACUGUGCCCCCAGCCCAGAGCUUGAUCUGGCCCUGCCUGAGGGGUUUUGUGGGAAAAUAAUGUUGAUUUCCUGUGUUGGCAGGGCAGGAUGGGGGUCCCUGAAGCAUCCUUGUCUCCCUCAAUCCACACAGGGCAGCUGGGGGGAUGCUCUGGUUUGGGGGACACCCCACCAAAUACCCCAAACCCCUCUCUUUGGGUGCUGGGGUAACAUCUGUGCGUCACAGCUGGGUUUGCAGUGUGCGUUUCCAUGCUGGCACAGGCAGGAAAAUCCCCCAAAAUUCAUCCCCAGCCUCUUUCUGCCCUUCCUCUGCCACCCUCUGGGUGCUCUCCACGGGACCCUCAGCCUGCAGAAACACAGAGCUGGAGAGGGGAAAAAUGGGAUAAAAUGUGUAAAGAAAUGUGUAAAGAAAUGGGUAAACACUGCUGAGGAAUGGGGAGGGGGCAGCCCCAUCCCAUUAUUCUGCAUCCAGAACUGGGAUGGAGCCCUAAAAACAGCACCAGUGGCAGGGAACAGGGGGACACAGAGGUGACAUUGGAGCAGGGGGACACAGAGGUGCCAUUUUUUCCCAGUUUUCCCACAGGUGGCCGUGCCCUUGGGGCUGUUCCCCCCUGCAAUAAGGAUCUGUCUGUCUGCACAAAAAUAAUCCUUUCUGUGAAAGGAUCUCCCCAUCAGGGCUGAUGGGAGAGCCCGGUGACUGUGUUGCAAAAAGGAGCAGGAAAAUUAAAAAAAAAAAAAAAAAGGAAAAAAAAAAAAGAAAAAAAAAACUCCAGGAAAAUCGAGCGAAAAAUCCCCGGAAAUUCUUUUGUACCAAUGAAGUUUGUUGUGUGCCUUUUGCAGAACGGCUGGAGGUGACAAUAAAGUGACAGUUGUUUGCAUCA